UACGUAGGGUGCGAGCGUUAAUCGGAAUUACUGGGCGUAAAGCGUGCGCAGGCGGCUAUGCAAGACAGAUGUGAAAUCCCCGGGCUCAACCUGGGAACUGCCAUUUGUGACUGCAUAGCUAGAGUACGGUAGAGGGGGAUGGAAUUCCGCGUGUAGCAGUGAAAUGCGUAGAUAUGCGGAGGAACACCGAUGGCGAAGGCAAUCCCCUGGACCUGUACUGACGCUCAUGCACGAAAGGCGUGGGGAGCAAACGAGGAUUAG
rnacentral:rRNA from 1 species